rnacentral:lncRNA from 1 species
UAACAAACCAGUGCUUAUUUACCAAUAAACUAAUACGCUAAUUGCAGGAACCCUGAUUAAAGCAGGCCCCUGUUAACACAAGAUUCUUAGGAUAUACUUGGAAACAGGUGCAUUGGAAACCACUGUACUGAGAAGUUUAUGGGCUCAAGACUGAAUUGGAAGCUAGGCGUGGUCGCUCAUGCCUGUAAUCCCAGCACUCUGGGAGGCUGAGGU